GGGAGUUUGGUCUAGUGGUAU
rnacentral:misc_RNA from 1 species